UACGAAGGGGGCUAGCGUUGUUCGGAAUCACUGGGCGUAAAGCGCACGUAGGCGGAUCUUUAAGUCAGAGGUGAAAAUCCCAAGGCUCAACCCUUGGAACUGCCUUUGAUACUGGGGAUCUUGAGUCCGGGAGAGGGUGAGUGGAACUGCGAGUGUAGAGGUGAAAUUCGUAGAUAAUUCGCAAGAACACCAGUGGCGAAAGGCGGCUCACUGGCCCGGUACUGAC
rnacentral:rRNA from 1 species